GAUGAACGCUGGCGGCGUGCCUAACACAUGCAAGUCGAACGAAGCAUUUAAGUGAAUUCCUUCGGGAUGAAGCUUUUAUGACUUAGUGGCGGACGGGUGAGUAACGCGUGAGCAACCUGCCUUUCAGAGGGGGAUAACAGUUGGAAACGACUGCUAAUACCGCAUAACGUAUCGAGACCGCAUGGUCAUGAUACCAAAGCUGAGGCGCUGAAAGAUGGGCUCGCGUCCGAUUAGAUAGUUGGUGGGGUAACGGCCUACCAAGUCGACGAUCGGUAGCCGGACUGAGAGGUUGAUCGGCCACAUUGGGACUGAGACACGGCCCAGACUCCUACGGGAGCAGCAGUGGGGGANAUUGCACAAUGGGCGAAAGCCUGAUGCAGCAA
rnacentral:rRNA from 1 species